GUUUUUGUGUUUUUAAUCUUUGAAAAUAUAUCAGCAGGCUAGAUUGGAGUUUUUUAUAUAAAAGUCCUCAAAACAGUGCCUAUGUAAAUCUGUUUGUCUCUUCUUUUUUAAAAAACAGAGACUUUCCUACUUCUCAACUAGAAAUGUUCAAAUGUUUCUAUCCAUGAAUGUGAUGUUUUGUAGGGAAUCUCUUAAGAAAGAAAUACACUGCAUGAAGCUGUUGGAGGAAGGAUCAAGCACAUUUGUUUUGACUGUUCUGACUGCUUGCACAAGAUUCCUGGUUACUCUGUAUGCACAGCUACUAUACAUGAUGAGGGAAAUGACUCCAGUCUCUAACAGAUAUCACUUUGGGAGACCGAGGCAAGUGGAUCACCUGAGAUCAAGAGUGCGAGACCAGUCUGACCAAUAUGGCAAACCCACAUUUCUACUAAAAUUACAAAAAUUAGCUGAGCAUUGUGGUGCAUGGCUGUAAUUCCAGCUACUCAGGAGGCUGAGGUAGAAGAAUUACUUGAACCCAGCAGACGGAGAUUGCAGCAAGCUGAGAUCGCAUCACUGCACUCCAGCCUGAGUGAUACAAUAAGACUCUGCCUAAAAAUAAAAUGGAUUUUUAUAUAUUUUCUAGAAAAGGA
rnacentral:lncRNA from 13 species